AAAGUCGUAACAAGGUUUCCGUAGGUGAACCUGCGGAAGGAUCAUUAACACGUAUCCAAACGUUAAAAACCCUGUGAAUUUUCAGCACCCGGUCUUGCUGCCCGCGAAAGCGAGUGAUUAAUUUCUUGCGGCAAGCACGGUGAGGCAUGUGACCUGGCACUUCUAAGCAACCAAUGUUCUGUCAGUGUGCGUUGGUUGUCCAAAGGUGGCGCAGUAAACGAUCGCUGGAGGUCAACACGGCCGGCGACCGGGUCAGCGAGCUCUGCUCCCCUAAAACCACUUUAACAUGAUUACAGUUCCUCUUUAAUUUGAGUGAGCUCCAAAAACUAUACAACUGUUAACAAUGGAUAUCUUGGUUCUC
rnacentral:misc_RNA from 1 species